rnacentral:lncRNA from 1 species
AUUUGUUUAUUGUUUGCUGUUUGAAGUUCUAUUCCAAUAGUCAAAUUUCAGUUCUUGAUUUCGUCAUCUGUUUAGUGCCUAAAUUCUUUUCUGAAUUCUUGUCUACAUACACUCGUAGAGUUGAAUGAGUUUUUUCUUCAUUUGUCAAAUUCAAUCUUACUGAUACUGAAUUAAAAAUUCAAUUCUGUUUUUCAAUUUUUUUACUCUGUUAAAAUAAUUAGUUUUAAUGUUCUAAAUCAAUUUCUUGAGUAUUACUUCAACUGUCAACUCAAUUCCGAAUGUUAAUAAAUUCUUCUCAAUUCUGAAUUGAUUCAAUCUUGUGUUAACUGUUAGCUAUUCAAUUCUGUCGUUUCAUUCUUUUAAAUUCGAUUGUUCAAUUUUAAUUUAGUUCAGUUCUUUCUUUCGUUUUAUUCCAUUGUUCAAAUUCAAUUCAAUCCGAUUUAAUUCUGUUCUGUAAGUUCUUUCUUUCCUUUAAAUUCAAAUAUUCAAUUACUCAACUUAAUUAUGUUAUUUCUUCUUUUAAAUUCGAUUGUUCAACUUAAACCAGAAUAUUGUUGAAUUCAACCCAAUGCUGAAUGUUCUUAUACUGAGCUAAAUUCUGAAUAGGUUUGAAACUCCCCAGAAGACAACUAUCCAAUUUGUUUGUCUUCCUGUGUAUAAACUCUGCUGCGAAUUUCAAUGUUGUUGAAUUUAAUUCUGUUCCACACAAGAAUUGGAAUUCUGAAAUUGAAAUUCAGUCGUACUGAAUUUAAUUUUAUUCCACGCAAGAAUUAGAAUUCUGAAUUAGUUCACCUUUGUCUCGACUUUGUGGUUUGCAGAACCUUUAAUUCAAUUUCUGAAAAACCAAUUGAAUUUACAAACACAUUGUAAAUUCGAUUUUUUACAUGGUAUCAGUCUAGGUUGAUUUAUUCCUGGGAUUCUCAUUAGAUUUACUAAACACUACUUUUGCUGAAUUAUCUUAAAGGUAAAAAUGGCUACACCUACAUCAACAACUACUCCCCAACAAACAUACAUGGGACAUGUUUCUUACAACAUUUUCAGUAUGGUUCCUGAUAGAUUAGAAAGAGGAAAUUAUUUGACAUGGAGAAAUCAAUUUGAAUGUGCAUUGAGAGCACACAAGUUUAUGAAAUAUGUGAAUGGAACUAGUUCUUGCCCAGCUUCUAGAGGAGAAAAUGAUAUGGUUAAUCCUGCAUUUGAGGAAUGGGUAGCUAACGAUGAUCUAGUUCUAGGUUGGAUUUGUUAAAUCCGUGGGAGGGUGACCGCCGGUGCUAUCGAGUGAUUGACUGAGGUCGAAUUGGCCGGACAGACACCCAAUUCGUUGCUUAGCAACGAGAGGAAGAAAGGGGCGGAUUCUAGGGUUCUUCGUAUUAACUGCUCCCCUAGUAUCCGUUAAACGUAGGUUUAGGAAGAAUUCAAUUGUAUCUAAUUUGAUUCAUUAAUCAUGGUUUUACAGAGUAUUAUAUAUACUAAUUACAGUUAUUACAACAGUAUUAGAUCUUAACUGUAUUGCUAAUAUUAACAAUAAUAUUAACACUUAAUUAACUGCAUCUGCUCUGGUCCGUAGCCCAUUCCAAUUUCAGCCCAACUCUAUUAUUGGAACAUUUGCAAUCUUUACCCAAAGUUUCUUUGUUAUUACAAAUAUAUCAUUCACUUAAAUAUUUGCAAUCUUUACCCAAAGUUUCUUUGUUAUUACAAAUAUAUCAUUCACUUAAAUAUUUGCAAUCUUUACCCAAAGUUUCUUUGUUAUUAUUUUGGGUCAUUUAUCUGUCUAGUAUUCUUCAACAGAUAAUUGCUCUUAGGUCCUGUAACCAUGAUUAAGAUAUUUUUAUAAAUCAAAUUAUAUUAUUCUGAUUUACAUACUGUAAUUCCUUUACUCCCCCCUCAAGCCUUGGAGUAUAUGUUUAAUAUUCCAAGCUUGGAGUGGAAUGUUGUGAUCUCUUUCUCACCAAGUGAUUUUGUGAGAAAAUCCGCAAGUUGCACUACAAAAAAAAGGACCUUGUAUGGCGGCCUUUAGAUGGCGGAUUUCCGCCAUCAAUACUUCAAUAGUUUAGAUGGCGGAAAUCCGCCAUCUAUUCUUUCAGUCCGCCGAGGAAACGUUUUGGCUCGACGGCGGUUCGGAAUUUUUUUCGAUGGCGGUGUUUAGAUGACGGAAAUCCGCCAUCUAAACUAUCCCGCCCAAAAUUUCGAAUCUCCCCCAAUUUCCAGCCCGAUUACCCGAUUAAAAUGACUUAAGAUGGCGGAAAUCCGCCAUCUUAAGUCAUCGGGGACUCGGGCGGAAAAAGCCCGCCCAAAUUUCGAUUGGGCGGACUUUCACUUAAGUGCUGGCGGCACUUAAGUGUACUUACAUGGCGGAUUUCCGCCAUGUAAGAUUUGGGGUUUAUUAAAAACCCCAAAUCCAGACAGAACGCGUUUGUUCUGUCUUGCUUUGGAGUGAAGUGCUGCCGCCGUUCUGUUCCCGUCGAUUCGUCCGUGCCGCCGUUCUGUUCCGACUCCGUCCGCCGUCGCCGACUCCGUCCGCCGUCGCCGACUCCGAUCUCGCCUCCGGUGGUGGCCGUUCUUGCUUUGGUCUGUCCGUUCUUCCUUUGGUCGGUCCCUUCUUGCUUUGGUGAGAUAUAUUACUUAUAUGUUUUAAUAUUUGUUUUAUAUUUUUGAUUUUGAUUUUGUUUUUUUAUGGUAUCUUUGAUUGUUUUUGGGUAUCUUUGAUUGUUUAUCUUUGAUUGUAUUAAUAUAUUCCAUGUCCAUAUAUUUUUAAUCUUUGGGUAUCUUCUAUUUUUAAUCUAUUCAAUGUAAUGUUUACAUUUUGAUCUAUUUACUGGAAUUAAUCGAUCUAUUCACCAUGUUUAGAUUUACUGGAAUUUAUACUGGAAUUAAUCAAUUUACAUUUUGAUCUAUUUAGAAUAUAUGUUUAAAUCGCUAAUGUUGAAUAUUGUAUUUGAAUAAAGGAUUUCGGUGAAGAAAUCGCCGCUGCUCUCCGCCUGUCUCCCCGCCGGUUCUCGACGUCUCUGUGAUCGCCCUCUCCGGUUCGAUCUGUGAAG